AGGUCCCACCUGCCCGGUGUAAAAACGGCCGCGGUAUUUUGACCGUGCAAAGGUAGCGCAAUCACUUGUCUUUUAAAUGAAGACCCGUAUGAAUGGUUAAACGAGGGCUUAACUGUCUCCCUUCUCCAGUCAAUGAAAUUGAUUUACCCGUGCAGAAGCGGGUAUAAACUUACAAGACGAGAAGACCCUUUGGAGCUUAAGACAAAAGAUCACUUAUGUUAAGUAUUUUAAAACUAAAUAAUCCUUGAUCAUAGUCUUCGGUUGGGGCGACCGCGGGAUAAAAUAAAACUCCCGCAAGGACUGAAGAAACCCUUUAAAACCAAGAAAGACAUUUCUAAGUCACAGAAUUUCUGACCACAAAGAUCCGGCCCGCCGAUCAACGAACCAAGUUACCCUAGGGAUAACAGCGCAAUCCCCUUUUAGAGUUCCUAUCGACAAGGGGGUUUACGACCUCGAUGUUGGAUCAGGAC
rnacentral:rRNA from 1 species